UACGAAGGGGGCUAGCGUUGCUCGGAAUUACUGGGCGUAAAGGGCGCGUAGGCGGAUAUCUAAGUUGGGGGUGAAAUCCCGGGGCUCAACCUCGGAAUUGCCUUCAAAACUGGAUAUCUUGAGUUCGGGAGAGGUGAGUGGAACUCCGAGUGUAGAGGUGAAAUUCGUAGAUAUUCGCAAGAACACCAGUGGCGAAGGCGGCUCACUGGCCCGGUACUGACGCUGAGGUGCGAAAGCGUGGGGAGCAAACAGG
rnacentral:rRNA from 1 species